UACGGAGGAUCCGAGCGUUAUCCGGAUUUAUUGGGUUUAAAGGGUGCGCAGGCGGAAGAUUAAGUCGGUGGUGAAAUUUUGCAGCUCAACUGUAAAAGUGCCAUUGAUACUGGUUUUCUUGAGUGUGGAUGAAGUAGGCGGAAUUUGUGGUGUAGCGGUGAAAUGCAUAGAUAUCACGAGGAACUCCGAUUGCGCAGGCAGCUUACUAAACCAUAACUGACGCUCAGGCACGAAGGCGUGGGGAUCAAACAGGAUUAGAUACCCGGGUA
rnacentral:rRNA from 1 species